GCUUUUAAAGGAUAACAGCCAUCCACUGGCCUUAGGAGCCACCUAUCUUGGUGCAAUUCCAAGUAAAAGCA
rnacentral:tRNA from 2 species